GUGCUGGGCGGGAGCUUCGGGAGCCGGCGCACGGGACUCGAACCCCAAGGGCUCCCGCCGCCAGGUCCACGUGGACCCUGGGCCGCAGUGGAAGUGGAGCCCGCCCCCCGCGCGUGGGGGAGGGGGCGCCGCAGCCGGGUUCCCCUUUUUCUGGAGCUCAAAGCCUGGGGAAGUGAUUGCUCAAAGGUGGGGGCCGGAAGAACCCAGGUUUCCGCGUCUCCCUCCCCCUCUCAGCCCGGUGAGGAGGGGCCGGGGCGGGACACCCUGUCCGCCCCCGCCCCCACCCCGCUGGAUCUGGCAGCCACUCAGCCCUUCGAGCUGUAGGGGAGGCGCUGCGCCCCCGGCCCCAGCCGAUCGGGGGCUCCUGGCGCUAGCCUCCCUCCAGAGCGCCGCAGGAGUCCCUCCUGCCGUCUGACUUGAGUCCCUGCUGCUGCAGUGCACGCCCCUUCGGCAGCCAGGGUGGGGCCCAGACCCAACCUGGCCCCUCCUGCCCCCACCCCGCCUUUGGGUCGCUACCCCCAGGCUGUGGUGAGGGUCUGAGAGCUGGUACCACGGAGCCUGGGCAACCUCCUCCGCCCACCC
rnacentral:lncRNA from 1 species